GAUGAACGCUGGCGGCGUGCCUAAUACAUGCAAGUCGAGCGAACAGAUGAGGAGCUUGCUCCUCUGACGUUAGCGGCGGACGGGUGAGUAACACGUGGAUAACCUACCUAUAAGACUGGGAUAACUUCGGGAAACCGGAGCUAAUACCGGAUAAUAUAUUGAACCGCAUGGUUCAAUAGUGAAAGACGGUUUUGCUGUCACUUAUAGAUGGAUCCUCGCCGCAUUAGCUAGUUGGUAAGGUAACGGCUUACCAAGGCAACGAUGCGUAGCCGACCUGAGAGGGUGAUCGGCCACACUGGAACUGAGACACGGUCCAGACUCCUACGGGAGGCAGCAGUCGGGAAUCUUCCGCAGUGGGCGAAAGCCUGACGGAGCAACGCCGCGUGAGUGCUGACGGUCUUGGGAUCGUAAAACUCUGUUAUUAGGGAAGAACAAAUGUGUAAGUAACUAUGCACGUCUUGACGGUACCUAAUCAGAAAGCCACGGCUAACUACGUG
rnacentral:rRNA from 1 species